CCACCCGUCGCUGAUCGAGUGUAGUAUCUGUUCUUAUCAGUUUAAUAUCUGAUAUGUUCUCUAUUUGAGGACUACAUAUUAAAUGGAUUUUUGGCACUAAGUUUU
rnacentral:snRNA from 1 species